rnacentral:ncRNA from 1 species
AACGACCCUGAAGCAUGUCUCCCAAAAGUGGGAACCGGUUUUGGGAUAAAGACAUGCGUAAAAACAAAAGUUUAAAGCGUGUUGCCUGAAUACGAUUGAACGCAACACGCUUUAAACCAUGUCUCCCAAAAGUGGGAACCGGAUUGCCGC